GGGAUUCUGGCUAUGUACCAGACACGAGGUAUGUGCUUCAUGAUAUUGACGAGGCCGCUAAGGAGCAAGCGCUGAUGUAUCAUAGUGAGCGAUUGGCUAUUGCAUAUGGUUUAAUUAGUACUCCGGCAAGAACAACUCUUAGGAUCAUCAAGAACCUCCGGAUAUGCGGUGACUGUCACAACGCCAUUAAGAUCAUGUCAAAGAUUGUUGGGCGAGAGUUGAUUGUCAGAGAUAACAAACGGUUU
rnacentral:misc_RNA from 1 species